rnacentral:rRNA from 1 species
CCUACGGGUGGCAGCAGUGGGGAAUUUUGGACAAUGGGGGCAACCCUGAUCCAGCCAUGCCGCGUGCGGGAAGAAGGCCUUCGGGUUGUAAACCGCUUUUGUCAGGGAAGAAAUCUUCCGAGCUAAUACCUUGGGAGGAUGACGGUACCUGAAGAAUAAGCACCGGCAAACUACGUGCCAGCAGCCGCGGUAAUACGUAGGGUGCAAGCGUUAAUCGGAAUGACCGGGCGUGAAGCGUGCGCAGGCGGUUGCACUCCCCGGGCUUAACCUGGGAACUGCACUUGUGACUGUACGGCUGGAGUACGGCAGAGGGUGAUGGAAUUCCGCGUGUAGCAGUGAAAUGCGUAGAUAUGCGGAGGAACACCGAUGGCGAAGGCAGUCCCCUGGGCCUGUACUGACGCUCAUGCACGAAAGCGUGGGGAGCACACAGGAUUAGAUACCCGAGUAGUC